rnacentral:rRNA from 1 species
UACGGAGGAUGCGAGCGUUAUCCGGAUUUAUUGGGUUUAAAGGGAGCGUAGACGGGUCCUUAAGUCAGUUGUGAAAGUUUGCGGCUCAACCGUAAAAUUGCAGUUGAUACUGGGGACCUUGAGUGCGGCAGAGGCAGGCGGAAUUCGUGGUGUAGCGGUGAAAUGCUUAGAUAUCACGCAGAACCCCGAUUGCGAAGGCAGCCUGCCAAGCCAUGACUGACGCUGAUGCACGAAAGCGUGGGAGCAAACAGG